UGGGGAUCGCGAUUUCGGCUACAAGGGAGACAUGCGCGAGAGCAGAGGAAGGUGAUUCCGAUCAUCUUCACCGCCGUCGGCUGCCGAAGCUCCACCCACUGUCGAUGGUUAAGGAUACCAUCACCCGUCGAGCGCCUAUCAUCUUCCGCCAUCAUUCACCAUGAGAGAAGGGGAUUUUCCUUUCAUCUCCGACGUUCCUCGUGACUGCGACCUUCUCCUUCUUCAUUGAUUCCAUUUCCGACGCACAUCCUUUGCACAUCAGAUCGCUGCCGAUGUCCUCUGCUCUUCCUCAUUAUAUUCCAAGUAUGAUCCGGCACGAGCUCGAGGAUGCCCUAGCUCGGGUUGUACGUUCCUUAGAUCCCUAGGAUUGAUUUGAAGUUGUUCAUUCCUUUGAAUUCCUUGUAGUUUGAUUUGGUUAAUUCCACCUGUUUUCAUGCUUGCUGUCAUUCGAUUUGUUUAGUUAACGUUGUGGUAAUUAGAAUCCUGAUUUGCUCUUGCAA